CAGGGGAGUGGCCUUUCGGGGAACUCGGAGACAGGUGCUGCAUGGCUGUCGUCAGCUCGUGUCGUGAGAUGUUGGGUUAAGUCCCGCAACGAGCGCAACCCUUGUCUUUAAUUGCCAGCAUUCAGUUGGGCACUUUAAAGAGACUGCCGGUGUUAAGCCGGAGGAAGGUGGGGAUGACGUCAAGUCCUCAUGGCCUUUAUGCCCAGGGCUACACACGUGCUACAAUGGGUGGUACAAAGAGAUGCCAACUCGCGAGAGCGCGCCAAUCUCAGAAAGCCAUCCUCAGUUCGGAUUGGAGUCUGCAACUCGACUCCAUGAAGUUGGAAUCGCUAGUAAUCGCGGAUCAGCACGCCGCGGUGAAUACGUUCCCGGGCCUU
rnacentral:rRNA from 1 species